AAGUCUCUGCUUUUAACUAGAUAGCAACUUUCAGCAGUGGAUGUCUAGGCUCGCACAUCGAUGAAGAACGCUGCGAACUGCGAUACGUAAUGCGAAUUGCAGGAUUCAGUGAGUCAUCGAAAUUUUGAACGCAUAUUGCACUUUCGGGUUCUGCCUGGAAGUAUGUCUGUAUCAGUGUCCGUACACUAAACUUGCCUUUCUUGCGUCGUGUAGUCGUCGCUGGGAAUGCGCAGAUGUGAGGUUUUGUCUUGCUCUGGCUCGAAUUCGUUGGGCAGGAGCAAGUCCCUUUAAAGUCGGACGUGUUUUCUCUCUGCGGUGUGCUGUGUCGGCGCUGGCGGCGCGUGGGACUCUCUUGUCUGUUGACGAGUCUGGCGACCUUUGGCUCGUGCAUUGCGGGGUGUGCUCGAUUGGCGGUAUGUUAGGCUUCGGC
rnacentral:rRNA from 1 species